UUGAUCAGUAUGUAUAUACAUGGUAACAUAUGUGUUGUACCUUCUAUAUUAUUUUUCAUUCACAGAAUGAAUCAUAACAAACAGCUAUAUGGAUGAACCUUUAUAAAUAGUUUUACAUACUUAUAAUAUUCAGUGUAAACAAAUGAAGCUUCUUUACAUACACUGAUAGUCACAAUUACAGGCAAGAUACAUAAUUUCCAUACUACAUAA
rnacentral:lncRNA from 1 species